rnacentral:rRNA from 1 species
AGUCUGCAACUCGACUCCAUGAAGUCGGAAUCGCUAGUAAUCGCAGAUCAGAAUGCUGCGGUGAAUACGUUCCCGGGCCUUGUACACACCGCCCGUCACACCAUGGGAGUCUAUUGCACCAGAAGUAGGUAGCCUAACGAAAGAGGGCGCUUACCACGGUGUGGUCGA